rnacentral:rRNA from 1 species
UAGGGAAUCUUCGGCAAUGGGGGCAACCCUGACCGAGCAACGCCGCGUGAGUGAAGAAGGUUUUCGGAUCGUAAAGCUCUGUUGUAAGUCAAGAACGGGUGUGAGAGUGGAAAGUUCACACUGUGACGGUAGCUUACCAGAAAGGGACGGCUAACUACGUGCCAGCAGCCGCGGUAAUACGUAGGUCCCGAGCGUUGUCCGGAUUUAUUGGGCGUAAAGCGAGCGCAGGCGGUUUGAUAAGUCUGAAGUUAAAGGCUGUGGCUCAACCAUAGUUCGCUUUGGAAACUGUCAAACUUGAGUGCAGAAGGGGAGAGUGGAAUUCCAUGUGUAGCGGUGAAAUGCGUAGAUAUAUGGAGGAACACCGGUGGCGAAAAGCGGCUCUCUGGUCUGUAACUGACGCUGAGGCUCGAAAGCGUGGGGAGCGAACAGGAUUAGAUACCCUGGUAGUCCACGCCGUAAACGAUGAGUGCUAGGUGUUGGAUCCUUUCCGGGAUUCAGUGCCGAAGCUAACGCAUUAAGCACUCCGCCUGGGGAGUACGACCGCAAGGUUGAAAC